rnacentral:rRNA from 1 species
GAUGAACGCUGGCGGCGCGCCUAACACAUGCAAGUCGAACGGUCGAUGAAGAGCUUGCUUUUCAAAGUUAGUGGCGGACGGGUGAGUAACGCGUGGGUAACCUGCCUCAUACAGGGGAAUAGCAGCUGGAAACGGCUGAUAAAACCGCAUAAGCGCACAGUGCCGCAUGGCACAGUGUGAAAAACUCCGGUGGGAUGAGAUGGAGCCGCAUCUGAUUAGCUUGUUGGCGGGGUCACGGCCCACCAAGGCGCCGAUCAGUAGCCGGCCUGAGAGGGUGAUCGGCAACAUUGGGACUGAGACGAGGCCCAAACUCCUACGGGAGGCAGCAGUGCGGAAUAUUGCACGAGGGGGGAAACGCUGAUGCAGCGACGCCGCGUGAAGGAAGAAGUAUCUCAGUAUGUAAACUACUAUCAGCAGGUAAGAUAAUGACGGUACCUGACUAAGAAGCCCCGGCUAACUACGUGCCAGCAGCCGCAGUAACAC